rnacentral:rRNA from 1 species
UACGGAGGGUGCAAGCGUUAAUCGGAAUUACUGGGCGUAAAGGGUGCGUAGGUGGUAUGGUAAGUUAUCUGUGAAAUCCCUGGGCUCAACCUGGGCAGGUCAGAUAAUACUGCUGUACUCGAGUAUGGGAGAGGGUAGUGGAAUUUCCGGUGUAGCGGUGAAAUGCGUAGAGAUCGGAAGGAACACCAGUCGGCGAAGGCGGCUACCUGGCCUAAUACGUGACACGUGAGGCACGGAAAGCGUG